rnacentral:tRNA from 1 species
UAACAUAGAAGUAAUACAUUACAUUUAGUUUCGACCUAAAAUUAAAGAAAAAUAUCUUCAUGUUUU